GGAAAAUGCAAAGCGAAGAAAGGCUUUGAAAAACUGUUUAUUUUUAUUCAAACACAUUGUAUUUCUGUUGCUUCCUUGUCUGCUGUCUGUUGCCCAUUGAGUGCUCUGUAAUUGUUUCUCAGAGUUGACGGGGCUGGUCCUUAUACCUUCUCCAGUGAGAGCUGCCAGGCUUGUUGAAGUAGGCCCACUGCACCCUGUGGAGCAUAGGACCUCAGCGACUGUAUUCCAGCAAACUGGACUGUGAGCUACCUCAUUCCAGGAAAAUAAUCUCCAGCACUUCCCUGAUGGCAGCAGGCAUGGGUGGUUUGCUGUUUCAAGCUCGAUCCAGUUGUGUUCAAACAUGGUUCUGAUCCUGUUGCACUCUAGCUGUAAAUGUUUUUAAUAUGCACUCAAUAAAGUGGUGUUUGCUGUAC
rnacentral:lncRNA from 1 species